rnacentral:rRNA from 1 species
GAAGGGCCAUCGCUCAACGGAUAAAAGGUACUCCGGGGAUAACAGGCUGAUACCGCCCAAGAGUUCAUAUCGACGGCGGUGUUUGGCACCUCGAUGUCGGCUCAUCACAUCCUGGGGCUGAAGUAGGUCCCAAGGGUAUGGCUGUUCGCCAUUUAAAGUGGUACGCGAGCUGGGUUUAGAACGUCGUGAGACAGUUCGGUCCCUAUCUGCCGUGGGCGCUGGAGAAUUGAGGGGGGCUGCUCCUAGUACGAGAGGACCGGAGUGGACGCAUCACUGGUGUUCGGGUUGUCAUGCCAAUGGCACUGCCCGGUAGCUAAAUGCGGAAGAGAUAAGUGCUGAAAGCAUCUAAGCACGAAACUUGCCCCGAGAUGAGUUCUCCCUGAGACUAUAAGUCUCCUGAAGGAACGUUGAAGACGACGACGUUGAUAGGCCGGGUGUGUAAGCGCAGCGAUGCGUUGAGCUAACCGGUACUAAUGAACCGUGAGGCUUAACCUUACAACGCCGAAG